rnacentral:rRNA from 1 species
AUUGAACGCUGGCGGCAGGCCUAACACAUGCAAGUCGAACGAGUGGCGGACGGGUGAGUAAUGUCUGGGAAACUGCCCGAUGGAGGGGGAUAACUACUGGAAACGGUAGCUAAUACCGCAUACCAUCGGAUGUGCCCAGAUGGGAUUAGCUAGUAGGUGGGGUAACGGCUCACCUAGGCGACGAUCCGUGGCUGGUCUGAGAGGAUGACCAGCCACACUGGAACUGGGACACGGUCCAGACCCCUACGGGAGGCAGCAGUGGGGAAUAUUGGACAAUGGGCGCAAGCCUGAUGCAGCCAUGCCGCGUGUAUGAAGAAGGCCUUCGGUUUGUAAAGUACUUUCAGUGAGGAGGCGUUACUCGCAGAAGAAGCACCGGCUAACUCCGUGCCAGCAGCCGCGGUAAUUC